UACGUAGGGUGCGAGCGUUACUCGGAAUUACUGGGCGUAAAGCGUGCGCAGGCGGUUCGUUAUGUCCGUUGUGAAAGCCCCGGGCUCAACCUGGGAAUGGCAAUGGAAACUGGCGGGCUAGAGUGUGGCAGAGGGGGGUGGAAUUCCGCGUGUAGCAGUGAAAUGCGUAGAGAUGCGGAGGAACACCGAUGGCGAAGGCAGCCCCCUGGGCUAGCACUGACGCUCAGGCACGAAAGCGUGGGGAGCAAACAGG
rnacentral:rRNA from 1 species